ACCCAGAUCUAAUCCUGAUUGAAAACUCUGUCACUCAAGUCUAGUCCAAAUAGAUCCGGUCGGGUUUACAGAUUCGACUCGAUCGACCUGAUAAAGUGCACAAGAAAUGUGGGAUAUCAUGUGGACCCCUAGAAUGCAAAUCUGACUCACCCAACUAGGCCGUCUGGAGUACGUAGGUGGGACACGGGUGAGACCCAACUGGAGUCAUUCAAUCGUUGUACAUGAAUCCUCCAUUCCCUUACGAGGAAAUGAAGGCCAGCGGCGAUAGCCAAAUGAAGAAGAAUGGGA
rnacentral:lncRNA from 1 species